UACGGGGGGGGCAAGCGUUGUUCGGAAUUACUGGGCGUAAAGGGCUCGUAGGUGGCCAACUAAGUCGGACGUGAAAUCCCUCGGCUUAACCGGGGAACUGCGUCCGAUACUGGUUGGCUUGAGUUUGGGAGAGGGAUGCGGAAUUCCAGGUGUAGCGGUGAAAUGCGUAGAUAUCGAGAGGAACACCUGCGGCGAAGGCGGGUUGCUGGGCUGACACUGACGCUGAUGUGCGAAAGCCAGGGGAGCGAACGGG
rnacentral:rRNA from 1 species